UACGUAGGGGGCAAGCGUUGUCCGGAAUCAUUGGGCGUAAAGGGCGCGUAGGCGGGCUCUUAAGUCAGGGGUGAAAGCCCAAGGCUCAACCUUGGAAUUGCCUUUGAUACUGAGGGCCUUGAGACCGGAAGAGGUCGGCGGAACUGCGAGUGUAGAGGUGAAAUUCGUAGAUAUUCGCAAGAACACCAGUGGCGAAGGCGGCCGACUGGUCCGGUUCUGACGCUGAGGCGCGAAAGCGUGGGGAGCAAACAGG
rnacentral:rRNA from 1 species